AGCGAACGCUGGCGGCAGGCUUAACACAUGCAAGUCGAACGGGCACUUCGGUGCUAGUGGCAGACGGGUGAGUAACGCGUGGGAACGUACCUUUCGGUUCGGAAUAAUUCAGGGAAACUUGGACUAAUACCGGAUACGCCCUUUGGGGGAAAGAUUUAUCGCCGAUAGAUCGGCCCGCGUCUGAUUAGCUAGUUGGUGAGGUAAUGGCUCACCAAGGCGACGAUCAGUAGCUGGUCUGAGAGGAUGAUCAGCCACAUUGGGACUGAGACACGGCCCAAACUCCUACGGGAGGCAGCAGUGGGGAAUAUUGGACAAUGGGCGCAAGCCUGAUCCAGCCAUGCCGCGUGAGUAAUGAAGGCCUUAGGGUUGUAAAGCUCUUUUGUCCGGGAAGAUAAUGACUGUACCGGAAGAAUAAGCCCCGGCUAACUUCGUGCCAGCCGCCGCAGUAA
rnacentral:rRNA from 1 species